AAAUCUAAAACCAAAAUAAUCGGUAGUUUUUCGAAUCGUGCCCAAGAAAAGGUUGUGAAACAGUUAAUUCGCGCAAAAAUGUUUAUCGGCAAGUAAUUAUUUUAUGUGUACCUAUUUAGAGACUGAUAAUUUAUAUUAACCUCGAUUGUUUUCAUUGUCCUACAUAUAACCUGUAACCGGUCAAGUAGAAAAGUUGGAUCACCAAACACAUUUUAAAUUUAUAACAAUGAAAAAAAAAUAUGUCGCGAUAUAAUACGUAUAUUAUUCUAAAUUUAAAUUAAAACCCCGCUGGCAGUUAAUAAUAAAUACGAUUUGUCAUUUAGUUAUUUUAUGUUUAUCGACUGUUUAUUAUUUGCUCUCCAAUAACGCAUCUACAAAGAAUUUUAUAUCAUUUUACGCUCUUAUCAUUUUUUAUCGCAGAAUUAAUUGAUAAAAAUUGAAAACACUUUUUUUUUAUUUUUACCCAUAACCGUCAUACUUGUAAGCUGGUAUGGUAAUUUAGCAAACCUGGCCAAUAUCCUAAAUAUAUUUAGAACUGAGUGCAAUAUAAGUAAAGUGGGCGGUAUUUUUAGUUGUCGACUAAUAAUAUAAAUAACCGAAAUAACAGCCCUAAAUGUCGUAGUGGCAAGUUGCGAAAGUGUUAGUGAAGCCGGUUAAAGAGUUAUCCGGUUGGAUUGAUGAUGGUUUAAAGAACAGUUCAAAACGUCGUCUCAAAAGAACAAGUGGCGGAGGCAGCCCCGAUCAAAUAGCGGUUCUGCCCCAUCAGGCCGACGCUUCAAUGUGACAGUGGUUCAAAGUGGCGGGGGCGGUUCUGGGGAGCCGCCCCAAACCUGCGCCUCCCCGGUACCCCGCCACCGGGGCCAGCCUUUUGCCAGUAUUCCCG
rnacentral:lncRNA from 1 species